GUGUCAGCAGCCGCGGUAAUACGUAGGGGGCGAGCGUUGUCCGGAAUUACUGGGCGUAAAGCGCGCGUAGGCGGCUUUACAAGUCGUUUGUGAAAGCCCCAGGCUCAACUUGGGGAUUGCAGACGAAACUGUAGGGCUUGAGUGCGGUAGAGGAAAGUGGAAUUCCUAGUGUAGCGGUGAAAUGCGCAGAUAUUAGGAGGAACACCAGUGGCGAAGGCGACUUUCUGGGCCGCAACUGACGCUGAGGCGCGAAAGCGUGGGGAGCAAACAGGAUUAGAUACCCUGGUAGUCCACGCUGUAAACGAUGAAUACUAGGUGUAGGGGGUAUCGACCCCCCCUGUGCCGGAGCAAACGCAAUAAGUAUUCCGCCUGGGGAGUACGACCGCAAGGUUGAAACUUAAAUGAAUUGACGGGG
rnacentral:rRNA from 1 species